CGCGCAUGUCUUGAUCGCUUGACGGCCAACAAACGGUACAACUGACGGCACGACAUACCUUUAUAAGCUGCACGUUAUGUUAAUAAAUAAUAAUUUAUUAUUCAGUUCACGGCGAGUCUGUUUCGAAGGAUAUUUAAAUUGAAAGGCUUAGCCUAUUUUUACCAGUAUGAAGCCGGUUUUCAACGGUUGCUGCAAACGGCAAGCACGCAGUUCAAGUCAUCACUGGAGUGACCUGUGCAUAACUUUGGAUGAGAGAAGACUCAACGCCUGACUUAAAUCUUGCGAAAUUACGGUGAACUUGAGGAUCCUGAAUUUUGUUUUUUGAGAGGAGGGCGCACCAGAGCCUUUGAGGGCAUGCAUUGUAACGUGAGAGUUCACACCACCAGAAGAUGCAUUGUAACCAAGUCCACAAAGACCCCCCCCCCCAGUGCAAGCUGAAGGACACAAAUGGCGUGACCGUUUGCAUUGACGGACUCUUCUAAGAGUUGGUCGUUUUUAGGGUGUAACAUGGCAACAGAUCAUCUUCAGUAGCCUAUUAUAUAUUUUUGGAAUGCCUUUAAAGAGUAGAUGUGAUUUAAGCUAUAAUUAGUUAUAUUCCACCCUUCUAUGUGCUUGUUAACACCAUCUUUCAGUGGGACAUGACCGUUUGCAUUGACGGACUCUUCUAAGAGUUGGUAGUUUUUAGGGUGUAACAUGGGGACAGAUGAUCUUAGGUAGCCUAAAUCAUAUAUGUUUUCAUUGUGGGAGUACAAUUAAUCACCAAAAGAUUCGUUUUUAUACAGGUUUUAGUAAACUUUACCCAAGGGUGCCAAUAAUUCUAGAGGGUACUGUCGCUAUUGCUGUUAUUGUUAAGACAAAGUUGUACUCAACACUAAGUUAUACAUGUGAGUUCUCAAACACUGUCCACUUACCUAUGUGGUGCACCCCUCAGCUUUAAGCUUGUACAUCUAGUGUUUAUGUUAGCUAACUGUAUCUUAAUGUGGUGCUAUCAGAGCAAGAUAUUAGAAAUGGCGUAUGAUGUACAGGGACUCGUAGUUUAUUAUGGUAUUGCGGUCAUUCGGUACAGUUACUACCAUUUGCGUUGGCACCUCUGCCAUACCAGAACAGUGUUUCGGUGCCCAACCAGUUAUAAUACAUUGAUGUGAAUGAAGUGCAUUCAAAAUGAAAAAUGGUCAACUCAAGGUGAUUCUCUUUCACAGAAAACCUCGGAAGCCAAAGAAGUAGAUGAGGGCUUGACUCAGUGACACCCAAGCGAAAAACCCAUUGCAGUAAUCCCUACUGGAGAUGAAUACACCAAUAAGUUAUCUAAAUCAUGUUUUGUCAUUUUGACCUCCUACCUUAUGACUCUACCACUACACAUGAUUUGUGGAAAGAGGCACGCACACUCUAUUAAGUUCUGUUUAGUCUUAGACUUAUGUGGUAAUUUAUAUAUAUCACUCAUGACAAAGAAGGGGGGGUCUCUUGUAGCCUACUACAGAUAGAUAGAUAGAUAGAUAGAUAGAUGGAUACUUCAUUGAUCCCCAAGGGGAAAUUCAAGAGGUGAGGUGAUACUGAGGUGUAUUUACAGUCGGAAGUUGCAGAGCAUCUUCAAAAGGAUGAAAACCAAUACACUCUAUAACCUUGAAGGGUUUUGCCAAGAUGUGUUCUACUUCGAGUAUGCAAUA